UGGAUAGGGGUUCUGAGAGGAAGGUCCCCCACAUUGGAACUGAGACACGGUCCAACCUCAUACGGGAGGCAGCAGUGAGGAAUAUUGGUCAAUGGACGAGAGUCUGAACCAGCCAAGUAGCGUGAAGGAUGACUGCCUAUGGGUUGUAAACUUCUUUUAUACGGGAAUAAGUGAGGCACGUGUGCCUUUUUGUAUGUACCGUAUGAAUAAGGAUCGGCUAACUCCGUGCCAGCAGCCGCGGUAAUACGGAGGAUCCGAGCGUUAUCCGGAUUUAUUGGGUUUAAAGGGAGCGUAGGCGGACGCUUAAGUCAGUUGUGAAAGUUUGCGGCUCAACCGUAAAAUUGCAGUUGAUACUGGGUGUCUUGAGUACAGUAGAGGCAGGCGGAAUUCGUGGUGUAGCGGUGAAAUGCUUAGAUAUCACGAAGAACUCUGAUUGCGAAGGCAGCCUGCUGGACUGUAACUGACGCUGAUGCUCGAAAGUGUGGGUAUCAAACAGGAUUAGAUACCCUGGUAGUCUACACAGUAAACGAUGAAUACUUGCUGUUUGCGAUAUAAGUAAGCGGCCAAGCGAAAGCGUUAAGUAUUCCCCUGGGGAGUA
rnacentral:rRNA from 1 species